rnacentral:rRNA from 1 species
UACGGGGGGAGCAAGCGUUGUUCGGAUUUACUGGGCGUAAAGGGCGCGUAGGCGGCCACCGCAAGUCGACUGUGAAAUCUUCGGGCUUAACCCGGAAAGGUCAGCCGAUACUGCGGGGCUAGAGUGCAGAAGGGGCAACUGGAAUUCUCGGUGUAGCGGUGAAAUGCGUAGAUAUCGAGAGGAACACCUGCGGCGAAGGCGGGUUGCUGGGCUGACACUGACGCUGAGGCGCGAAAGCUAGGGGAGCGAACGGG